AGGGCGUACGGGGAAUGCCUAGGCACAUGGAGCCGAUGAAGGACGUGGUAAGCUGCGAUAAGCCUCGGGAAGGAGCAAACAUCCUUAGAUCCGGGGAUUUCCGAAUGGGGCAACCCAAAUCGAGUCAUGUCGAUUAACUCCUGUCUGAAUAUAUAGGACAGGGUGAGACAACGAGGUGAACUGACACAUCUAAGUAACCUCAGGAAGAGAAACCAAAAGGGAUUUCCUCAGUAGCGGCGAGCGAACGGGAAUGAGCCUAAACCGCCAACGUGCCAAGCUUACAGGCGUUGCGCUGGCGGGGUUGUGGGAUCGAUUCAGAGUCUGCUGUAACAGGCUCGGCAAGUCAAAAAAUCUGAUAUUAAUUGAAUGGUCUGGAAAGUCCAACCGUAGAAGGUGAUAGUCCUGUAAAUGAAAAUUGACGAUCUUGCUGGAAUCGACACCCGAGUAACACGGGACACGAGAAAUCUUGUGUGAAUCUGCCGGGACCAUCCGGUAAGGCUAAAUACUCCCAUGUGACCGAUAGUGAACUAGUACCGUGAGGGAAAGGUGAAAAGUACUCCUAACGGAGAGUGAAAUAGAACCUGAAACCGUAUACCUACAAGCGGUCGGAGCUCCACUUCGGUGGGGUGACGGCGUGCCUUUUGCAUAAUGAGCCAGCGAGUUGCUCGUACGUUGCAAGGUUAAGAAUGGACAUUCGAAGCCGAAGCGAAAGCGAGUCUGAACAGGGCGUUCAGUAGCGUGCGGCAGACCCGAAACUGAGUGAUCUAGCCAUGACCAGGAUGAAGUCCCGGUAACACGGGAUGGAGGUCCGAACCCACUUCGGUUGAAAACGGAGGGGAUGAGUUGUGGUUAGGGGUGAAAGGCCAAUCAAACUCAGAGAUAUCUGGUUCUCGCCGAAAUGCCUUUAGGGGCAGCGUUGUAUUAGUGUACCGGGGGUAGAGCACUGAAUGGGCUAGGGGGCCUACAAGCUUACCAACCCCAAUCAAACUCCGAAUACCGGAUACAUGAUGUACAGCAGUGAGGCUGCGGGCGAUAAGGUUCGUAGCCGAGAGGGAAACAACCCAGAUCAACAGCUAAGGUCCCAAAGUCAAUGCUAAGUGAAAAAGGAUGUCAAAUCGCCCAGACAGCUAGGAGGUUGGCUUAGAAGCAGCCAUCCUUUAAAGAAAGCGUAACAGCUCACUAGUCGAGGGGUUUUGCGCCGAUAAUAUCCGGGACUAUAAGUAUCAUACCGAAGCUUUGAGAUUCUUAGAAUCGGUAGGCGAGCGUUCCAUUGACCGUUGAAGGUGGACCCGUGAGGGCCGCUGGAGGAGAUGGAAAUGAGUAUGCUGGCAUGAGUAGCGAUAAACACAGUGAAAUUCUGUGUCGCCGUAAGCCCAAGGUUUCCUGAGUAAAGUAACUCUGCUCAGGGUUAGUCGGAGCCUAAGUCGAGGCCGAAAGGCGUAGACGAUGGAAAACGGGUAAAAUAUUCCCGUACCAGCGGUUAAUUGUCUGAACUAAGGGGGGACGCAGGAGUGAAAGAUCAGCACGGUAUUGAAUAUCCGUGUCUAAGCAUGUAGGGUGAUCCGGUAGGCAAAUCCGCCGGGUCUUAUAACCUGAGAUGCGAAUGGGAAGCGCGCCUUCGGGCAAGCCAACUGAUCCUAAUCAGACUGCCAAGAAAAUCCUCUAUGUUAGAUUAACAGCUGACCGUACCGUAAACGGACACACGUGGGCGAGGAGAGUAUCCUCAGGCGCUAGAGAGAAUCAUGGUUAAGGAACUCGGCAAAAUGGCCCCGUAACUUCGGGAGAAGGGGUGCCCUAAGUAGGUAAUGAUCUUCGCGAUCGGAGCUGAACAGGGUCGCAGUGAAGAGGCUCAAACGACUGUUUAACAAAAACACAGGUCUCUGCUAAAUCGUAAGAUGAAAUAUAGGGACUGACACCUGCCCGGUGCCGGAAGGUUAAAUGGCGAGGUUAGUUCUUCGGAACGAAGCUUUAAAAUGAAGCCCCGGUAAACGGCGGCCGUAACUAUAACGGUCCUAAGGUAGCGAAAUUCCUUGUCGGGUAAGUUCCGACCUGCACGAAUGGUGUAACGAUUUGAGUACUGUCUCAACCAGAGACUCGGCGAAAUUGCAAUGUGAGUAAAGAUGCUCACUAUGCGCGACAGGACGGAAAGACCCCGGAACCUUUACUGCAGCUUGGUAUUGAAGUUUGUUAUGCAGUGUGCAGGAUAAGUGGGAGACUAUGAAGCAGAUGCGCUAGUAUCUGUGGAGUCAUCCUUGAGAUACCACUCACUCCAUAUUGAGCUUCUAACUUAGAACCGUAAUCCGGUUCAAGGACAUUGCCUGGUGGGCAGUUUCACUGGGGCGGUGGCCUCCUAAAAAGUAACGGAGGCGCUCAAAGGUCACCUCAGCGUGGACGGCAAUCACGCAUUGAGUGUAAGUGCAAAAGGUGGCUUGACUGUGACACAAACAAGUGAAGCAGGUACGAAAGUAGGAACUAGUGAUCCCAUGGUUGCAUGUGGGUGCGCCAUGGCUCAUCGGCUAAAAGGUACUCCGGGGAUAACAGGCUUAUACCCCCCAAGAGUCCAUAUCGACGGGGGUGUUUGGCACCUCGAUGUCGGCUCUUCUCAUCCUGGGGCUGGAGCAGGUCCCAAGGGUUAGGCUGUUCGCCUAUUAAAGAGGAACGCGAGCUGGGUUCAGAACGUCGUGAGACAGUUCGGUCCCUAUCCGUCGCGCACGCAAGAGUUUUGAAGAAAGUUGUCCCUAGUACGAGAGGACCGGGAUGAACGAACCGCUGGUGUGCCAGUUGUCCUGCCAAGGGCACGGCUGGUUAGCUACGUUCGGAAAGGAUAAGCACUGAAAGCAUCUAAGUGCGAAGCCUCUUCUGAGAUGAGAUUUCU
rnacentral:rRNA from 1 species